UUGUAGGAUAGACAAAGCAAUCCCUUGGCCUUCAAAGCCGGCAAGGCAUAACGCCAACCCUGUAAU
rnacentral:tRNA from 1 species